rnacentral:lncRNA from 1 species
ACCUGCACCUGCAACUAGCAACGCUAUAAUAAGGUUGAGUGAGCACUAACUUAGCCAAUCAAUGUUUGCUAGGAUGUGGAGGGUUAGAGGCUUUUCAUGGUUAUUUUGGAGGCUUGAUAUUCAGUGGUAGGCAGAAAUAAAUAGCAAUGUAAACAAGACAGCUAAGCAUAACAAAAUUCGAAACGAUAUGAAGGUCACGAUCAUCUUGCGUGAUACUUCUUCUGAGGGAUCAAACUCUUCGCCUUUAGGAAUGUUCUCAACGGGAUCCUCGUAGUCGUUCUCGGCACGAGUUGCUACCCAAAAUAAAAUACAACAUCUAAUGAACUCACAUCCAUGGCAUGAUGCUCAAACAUAUAAUGCAUGAAUAUGAUG